rnacentral:misc_RNA from 1 species
AACAUCGCGCACCUGCGGGAACCUGCGGAAGGAUCAUUAAAAAGAGUGUGUACCCCUCUGUAAAAUGAGUGGGUUACCUCCCGUCCUUUGUUGACCUCUUAGGAGGUUAUUUUGAACUUUCUGCUUCGGUGGGGUUAAACCUACCGGAACACCCUCAAAUUCUUAUCAUUUAAAAAUUGUUCAGUCUGAUUUUUGUUAAUAAAAACAAAAAACUUUUAGCAACGGAUCUCAGAUCGGAAG